AUUAGAGUUGUUGUGAUUGCUGCGAAAAUGGGUUGGAAUUGAGGAUGCGGCUGCCCCGUUGCAGGCCAAGAGAAAUCAGAGUUUUGUCACGUAAUUGAGUCGCAAACGAGAAAUUCUUUUUCAGUGAUAGGUUCAGAAAGCUUUAGCGCGAAGCCACGAUCGACUACAGAGCUUUAAUGUAUAUAUGUGUUUUCAUUUUUUGUAUUUAGUUUAGUCCUAGAAUUUAAUUUCCCCUCGACAUUUAUUGUUUGGUUAUUAGAAGGGUAGGAUUUGUGAUUGAAGAAUUAUAAAUAAGUCUAUGUAUUUA